rnacentral:snRNA from 2 species
AGCUUUGCGCAGUGGCGAUAUCGUAACCAAUGAAGGUUUACUGAGGUGCGAUUAUUGCUAGUUGAAAACUUAUACCAAUACCCCGCCUAGGAAAUGUGUAAUACCAUUUCCUAUGGCAAUUUUUGAAAGCUUCUAAGGAAG